rnacentral:tRNA from 1 species
AUUUUAUUAGUAUAGUGUCUAUUACAUUUAACUUCCAAUUAAAAAAAUCAUAAAUGAAUAAAAUA